UUGCUUCUCCGGAUGAGUUGCGAACGGGUGAGUAACGCGUAUGUAACCUGCCUGGUAGCGGGGGAUAACUAUUGGAAACGAUAGCUAAUACCGCAUAAGAGUAGAUGUUGCAUGAGAUUUGCUUAAAAGGUGCAAUUGCAUCACUACCAGAUGGACCUGCGUUGUAUUAGCUAGUUGGUGGGGUAACGGCUCACCAAGGCGACGAUACAUAGCCGACCUGAGAGGGUGAUCGGCCACACUGGGACUGAGACACGGCCCAGACUCCUACGGGAGGCAGCAGUAGGGAAUCUUCGGCAAUGGACGGAAGUCUGACCGAGCAACGCCGCGUGAGUGAAGAAGGUUUUCGGAUCGUAAAGCUCUGUUGUAAGAGAAGAACGAGUGUGAGAGUGGAAAGUUCACACUGUGACGGUAUCUUACCAGAAAGGGACGGCUAACUACGUGCCAGCAGCCGCGGUAAUACGUAGGUCCCGAGCGUUGUCCGGAUUUAUUGGGCGUAAAGCGAGCGCAGGCGGUUAGAUAAGUCUGAAGUUAAAGGCUGUGGCUUAACCAUAGUACGCUUUGGAAACUGUUUAACUUGAGUGCGAGAGGGGAGAGUGGAAUUCCAUGUGUAUCGGUGUGG
rnacentral:rRNA from 1 species